AGGGUGGUGGAGAAGAGGAUCGAGGACUUCACUGAGUCACUGUUAAUCUUGCUCAAGUCCAAGUGGCUGGAUGGGACCCUGACAAGUCUGGGGAAAGGAACCCCCUCCUCUGCACCUUGUUUGAGAAGGAGGACUUCAUGGGACUGGACACAGACAGCAGAGAGAUCCUUUUAGGGUCAGUGUGGAGACUUCCUCCCGCUUUUCAGCCAAGACCCCUGGUGGGACCCCUGGAGUUGCUGUCCAAUAGAGUAGCCACAGCCACUGAUGCUAUGAGCGCUGGGGAAGAGGCUGGUCUGAGCUGAGAUGUGCUGUAGGUCAAAUGCACAUCAGACGCUGAGACUUGUCUAGUAAAAAAUCGUUUUGGUUACUGAGACCCUCGAAUUCCCAUAUGAAUUAUAACAGCAGCUAAUCAGUUUUUGCAGAGGAGACCGCUGGGAUUGUGAUCGAGACCACGUAGAAUAUACGGAUCACUCUGGGGAGCACUGCCAUUCCAAGAGCACUGUCUUCUGAUCCAGGAAUGUACGUGGAGAGUCUGUCCAGGUGCCCUCACAUCCAGUGGCAUCCAUCCAGACACCAACACUGACACUGGCCAUGCUCAGAACUGCCUCAGCCCUGAAGACACAAGUGACAAAUAGAAGGGGGCCGCGCCCUGUUACAGCAGGUGCUCUCACUUUGUGGGUCCUUAUGUAACUGCGCAGUGUUAAUCAGGAUCUCCCGUUCUACAUUGUGUGGCGCUGCUGCAGUGUCUCCUAGUUAUUUGUUUCUGAGAAUUACGGCCUGCUGCUAGAGUGUUUGAUCAGGAUAAAUGAUUUGUUUCUAUAAGAUGCCACGUACAGUCACAAUCUCAGUGAGAAAUGGGCUGUCACCUCUUCAUCUGCAACUCAGUGCUCGACAGGACAUCGGGGCAAAGCCAGUCCGUAAUUUGUUUGUGAUGCAACUGUCCACGUGGGUCAAAUCAUGGUGCCCCUCUAAAACCUCCAAAAAAAAUCAAAGUUGAUUCUCUAUUUUGCAACUUGCCAUCUCUAUAUAAGUGCAGAAGAGUUAACAUCGUGAAAGAUCAGAGCCCGGAGAAUAGGCUCUCCUGGAUAUUUCAGGCUAAAGGCAACUUUCUUUUACAAAAGUGUAAGAAUGCUGGUGACUGAGUUAGAAGCAUGCUUCAAAGCUGUCCGUGUCCUUGCCAUCCAGAAGCAGAGCCUGGGAGCUUCCGAAUUUCUCCAGAAUGGGGUUUACAUUCAUCUUCCACAGACGUUUCCAGUAAGGAUGGGGAGCAGAAGAGAAAACCCCCUGCUUCACAGUGGAAGCUGCUGUUUUGUGCAAAACUGACCAAAGUUUGGAGACCAGUCAUCAGCGGUGCUGGCAAAUGAAGAGACUUCGGGAUUGGGUGGGGCACUUGCUGCGACUUUCAGGCUCCUCCGCUCAGAUGUAAGAAUAUCCUCUUUCGACUUCUUGAUGCAGCUCCUUAAUGAAGAUCUCGUGAAGGAAACUUAGUCAAAACGUGGGAGCAUUCCUAGGAGAGAAUUCAGCAGUGCAGCAUCCUCUCCGAGCGCUAUGAGUUGAUCGGCUUCCACCGCAAGUCCGCCUUCUUCAAGCGGGUGGCCCCCGUGCAGCGCGCGGCCCCCGGCAUCCCGGAGCCUGGCGGGAAGGCCUGCUACCGACUCCUUCUGCAGACGCUUCCUGGCUACAGUCUGUCGCUGGAUCUGCAGGACUUCAGCAAAGGUGUUGGAACUAAAACAUUGCUUCAGUCCCAUUAACCAUGCCUGGUUUGGGCCCUGCUGUCCUGUCUCAUCAGGGUGAAUUGUGAUUGUUUAGAACAGGGCUCAGCAGACUUUUUCUGUCAAGGGCUUGGGAGUAAGUAUUUCAGGGUCUGCAAACCUCCUGAUCUCUAGUGCGGCUGCUCAGCUCUGCUGUUCAGACGCCAGAGCAGCCGGACAUUCCACACACCCACAGAGUUUUAUUAACAGCUUUGGCUGGGGCUGGAUUCGGUGUAUGAACUGCAGUUUGUCCCCAGAGCUCCUCACUAUUGACGCCUCCACCAGAGCGUGCAUUUGCGACAAUGGGUGAACCUGCACUGACAAGUCAUCAUCACCCAGAGCCCAGACUUGACACUAGGAUUUACACUUGGUUGUGUGCACUCUGUGGGUUUGGACAGAUGUGCAAUGACAUGUAUCCACCGUCACAGCAUCAUACAGAGUAGUCUGUCUUAGUGACCUUAAAAUGCUCCGUGCUGCACCUCAUUCAUUGCUCCUUCCCCUCUAGCCUCUGACAGCCACUGAUCUUUUAGUCUCUGUGGUUUUGCCUUUCCCAGAACACCAUACAGUUGGAAUCAGACAGUUGCGGAACCUUCCCAGAUUGGCUUCUUUCACUUAGUAAUAAGCAUUUAAGGUUCCUCCAUGUCUUUCCAUGCCUUGAUAACUCAUUUCAUUUUAGCACCAAAUAAUAGUCCAUUUUCUGGCUGGACCACAGUUUAUCCAUUCACCUACUGAAGAACAGCUUAGUUGUUUCUGAGUUCUGGUGAUUAUGAAUAAAGCUGCUAUUAACAUCUGUAUGCAGAUUUCUGUGUGGACAUAAGUUUCCAUUUCGUCGAGUAAACACCAAGGAGCACAGUUGCCGGAUCAUAUGUUAGGAGUACGUUUAGUUUUGUAAAAAAUUGCCAGACCGUCUUCCAAAAUAUCUGGGCCAUUUUACAUUCCCACCAGCAAUGCAUGAGAAUUCCUGACGCUCCACAUCCUCACCAGCAUUCGGUGCUGUCAGUGUUCUGCUUUUUGGCAGUUCUGACAGGUGUGCAGUUGUACCUCGCUGUUUCAGUCUGCAUCCCCUUGAUGACAGAUGCUGUGGAGCAUCUUUCCAUAGACUUCUUUGGCAUGUAGAUUUCUUCUUUGAUGAGGUGUGUGUUCAGGCAUUUUGCUCAUUUUUUAAUCAGGUUGUUCAUCCUUCUUGUUGAGUUUAAAGAGAUUUUGGUAUAUUCUGGAUAUCAGCCCUUUAUCAAUGUGUCCCUGCCCUUCACCUGCAGCACCGGAGUUGUCCUUUGGGUCUCAGUGGAGUGUCAGCUCUUCAAAGAGGUUCCCUGUCUUCCCUCAGCCUAAAUACUGUCCUUGUAUUUUUCACUUUCAUUGACUCAUUUUGUUCUUUUUAAAUAGCAUUUCCCAUAAUUUGUAAGUACAUUAAAAAAAGGGCAAUGAUUGAACACCACCUCCCCCACCAGGCUGUGUGCCCUGUGAGAGCAGAGGCCCUGUCCCCACUCACCGUUUCCCAUGACAGCACAAGGCACAUGUCCAUGUAAAAGUGUGUAAUGUGGGGCCAAACCUGAUGAGCAGCUAUGAUGACAUGUGUUGGCUUCCAUUUAUUGAGUAGACUUUGUUUCUGAUCUUAAUUAUUAAAUCAUACGAAUGAAACUUGUUUGUUUUGAAAAAUAAACAACAAAGCACACCUCCAUUUGAUUGGUAGUUUCCACUUAGCCUUCUGACCCAGGAGGGGAUGUUCACCAUCAUUUUGUGGAGGAGGUUGGGGAGGUAAAAUAAGAGAGUGAGAUUAAAUAAAGUAAAAAUGAUAACUA